rnacentral:rRNA from 1 species
CCCUACGGGAGGCAGCAGUGGGGGAUAUUGCACAAUGGGGGGAACCCUGAUGCAGCGACGCCGCGUGGGUGAAGAAGCGCCUCGGCGCGUAAAGCCCUGUCAGCAGGGAAGAAAAUGACGGUACCUGAAGAAGAAGCCCCGGCUAACUACGUGCCAGCAGCCGCGGUAAUACGUAGGGGGCAAGCGUUAUCCGGAUUUACUGGGGGUAAAGGGGGCGCAGACGGCGAUGCAAGCCAGGAGUGAAAGCCCGGGGCCCAACCCCGGGACUGCUCUUGGAACUGCGUGGCUGGAGUGCAGGAGGAGCAGGCGGAAUUCCUGGUGUAGCGGUGAAAUGCGUAGAUAUCAGGAGGAACACCGGUGGCGAAGGCGGCCUGCUGGACUGCAACUGACGUUGAGGCCCGAAAGCGUGGGGAGCGAACAGGAUUAGAUACCCCAGUAGUC